GGGCCUGUAGCUUAGCCUGGUUGGAGCGUUCGUUGACAUCCCUUUUCUUGGGAAGAAAAGGUCCGUCACCCCCAAAAGAACUUUGGGAGACGGCCGAAACCCAAAAAGAAAAGGGAAGCCAAACGAUACUGAUACCGGGCUUUUGGAAAUCGAAAGGUCCGCGGUUCAAAUCCGCGCAGGCCCA
rnacentral:tRNA from 1 species